UAUCUCUUCCGCAAAGGCUGUACACAAGCCUUGAUGUUUAUUUGGUGACGUCACCUUCCUAUUUCUCCGUUUCAGGUUGCCCUGAUGUUCGUUUUAAUCUAGUUUUGCCUGUAUCACCAUGUUGAGGCAAAGGAAAGGACUGUGCAAUUUGGGACUUUGUAUUCCUCCGUGGGAUUUAGCAUUGACCAUGAAAACAGAAUAUGAAGUCAGAAUCUUCAUGGGAAACGUGUUCAGAAGAAAGAACAGUGAGCCAGGAAGCUUGGAGGUUUGGGCUCUAGCCGCAGCUUUCCCAUGGACAUGUCAUAUAUGUCCCAGAAAGUCAUUCAGACUUUGUAGCACCCAGUUUCUUUUUCUGUUAAUCAUCGAGUGAAUUGGAUGACCUCUCCCCGCCAAUUCUAUAAUUCUAAAUGUCAUACGUAUGUUUGCAUGAAUCCACAAGUCACUAAAACCUAGCAGAUUUCAGAAAAUUAUUUAAUAAACAAAAUUUCUCAUCAGCAGCUCAAGAGAUCUUGGAACUGACUCCCAAAACAUCGGAUAAUCAUGUUUAGGCAAAGUCUUCAAACCCAAAGAGAAGAUCUCGGGAUUGUUGAGCGUCUUUUCACCACCAUUCAUACCACGCAGAAGACAGGCUGUCAGUUCCGAGCUCACACUCACUCUGCCCCGAGGGCUCAGAGCAUUGGAACAUCUCUCAUUAAUUGGGGGGGCAGGGGGGGGUGCUUAAUAUACAGAAUAUGGUAUUGCCUCUUUCACGAUGAAAUGAAAUCUAAGAGCACCUUUCAGUUCUAUAACAUUUUCAGCAUCUCAAAAUGCUUUGAGAAUAGCUUCAGCUUUUUUUUUUUUUUCUCAUUUCUGAUUUGAUCCAUGUAAUGACUUUGUAAAGCAGGCGAGGCCCAGGAAUUAUUGUGCCCAUUUACAAAGCAAUAUGCUGGGGGCAAAGAAAUAAAAUAACUUGGUUACCUCUUA